UUGGAGGGCAAGUCUGGUGCCAGCAGCCGCGGUAAUUCCAGCUCCAAUAGCGUAUAUUAAAGUUGUUGCAGUUAAAAAGCUCGUAGUUGAAUUUCGAGAUCAAAUUGUUGGUCGUGCCUUGGUACGUACUGGCAUUAUUGGUUUCUCCCUUCUGAAGAACCAUGAUGUCAUUAAUUUGGUGUCAUGGGGAAUCAGGACUGUUACUUUGAAAAAUUAGAGUGUUUAAAGCAGGCUCACGCUUGAAUACAUUAGCAUGGAAUAAUGAAAUAGGACGUUUGAUUCUAUUUUGUUGGUUUCUAGGAUCGACGUAAUGAUUAAUAGGGAUAGUUGGGGGCAUUAGUAUUCAAUUGUCAGAGGUGAAAUUCUUGGAUUUAUUGAAGACUAACUACUGCGAUAGCAUUUGCCAAGGAUGUUUUCAUUAAUCAAGAACGAAAGUUAGGGGAUCGAAGACGAUCAGAUACCGUCGUAGUCUUAACCAUAAACUAUGCCGGCUAGGGGAUCGGAUGAUGUUAAUUUUUAAUGACU
rnacentral:rRNA from 1 species